AUUGAGCGCUGGCGGCAUGCUUAACACAUGCAAGUCGAACGGCAGCACGGGCUUCGGCCUGGUGGCGAGUGGCGGACGGGUGAGUAACACGUAGGAAUCUGCCUGGUAAUGGGGGAUAACCCGGGGAAACUCGGGCUAAUACCGCAUACGCUCUACGGAGGAAAGCGGGGGAUCUUCGGACCUCGCGUUAUCAGAUGAGCCUGCGUCCGAUUAGCUGGUUGGCGGGGUAAAAGCCCACCAAGGCAACGAUCGGUAGCUGGUCUGAGAGGACGAUCAGCCACACUGGAACUGAGACACGGUCCAGACUCCUACGGGAGGCAGCAGUGGGGAAUAUUGGACAAUGGGCGCAAGCCUGAUCCAGCAAUGCCGCGUGUGUGAAGAAGGCCUGCGGGUUGUAAAGCACUUUAAGCAGGAAAGAAGGCUUCAGGGUUAAUACCCUUGGGGAUUGACGUUACCUGCAGAAUAAGCACCGGCUAACUCCGUGCCAGCAGCCGACGG
rnacentral:rRNA from 1 species